AGCUAGAGUGUGGAGAGGAUGGUAGAAUACCAGGUGUAGCGAUGAAAUGCGUAGAGAUCUGGAGGAAUACCGAUGGCGAAGGCAGCCAUCUGGCCUAACACUGACGCUGAGGUGCGAAAGCAUGGGGAGCAAACAGGAUUAGAUACCCUGGUAGUCCAUGCCGUAAACGAUGUCUACUAGCCGUUGGGGGCCUUUGAGGCUUUAGUGGCGCAGCUAACGCGAUAAGUAGACCGCCUGGGGAGUACGGUCGCAAGACUAAAACUCAAAUGAAUUGACGGGGGCCCGCACAAGCGGUGGAGCAUGUGGUUUAAUUCGAUGCAACGCGAAGAACCUUACCUGGCCUUGACAUAGUAAGAACUUUCCAGAGAUGGAUUGGUCCCUUCGGGAACUUACAUACAGGUGCUGCAUGGCUGUCGUCAGCUCGUGUCGUGAGAUGUUGGGUUAAGUCCCGCAACGAGCGCAACCCUUUUCCUUAUUUGCCAGCGAGUAAUGUCGGGAACUUUAAGGAUACUGCCAGUGACAAACUGGAGGAAGGCGGGGACGACGUCAAGUCAUCAUGGCCCUUACGGCCAGGGCUACACACGUGCUACAAUGGUCGGUACAAAGGGUUGCUACCUAGCGAUAGGAUGCUAACUCAAAAAGCCGAUCGUAGUCCGGAUUGGAGUCUGCAACUCGACUCCAUGAAGUCGGAAUCGCUAGUAAUCGCGGAUCAGAAUGCCGCGGUGAAUACGUUCCCGGGCCUUGUACACACCGCCCGUCACCCCAUGGGAGUUUGUCCACCAGAAGUAGCUAGCUUAACCGCAAAGAGGC
rnacentral:rRNA from 1 species